rnacentral:rRNA from 1 species
CUAAGAAUAUUCCGCAAUGGGAGAUAUCCUGACGGAGCGACGCCGCGUGAACGAUGAAGGCAGAAAUGUUGUAAAGUUCUUUUAUAGGUGACGAAUAAGGUUACUGAGAGAAACGGUAGCUGAUGACGGUAACUUAUGAAUAAGCCACGGCUAACUACGUGCCAGCAGCCGCGGUAAUACGUAGGUGGCAAGCGUUGUUCGGAAUUAUUGGGCGUAAAGGGCAUGUAGGCGGUUAGGAAAGUGUGAAUUGAAAGACCGAAGCUUAACUUCGUGUUUGGUUUGCAAACUAUCUGACUGGAGUACAGGAGGGGUGACUGGAAUUCCGCGUGUAGGGGUGAAAUCUGUAGAUAUGCGGAAGAAUACUUGUGGCGAAGGCGAGUCACUGGCCUGUAACUGACGC